UAAAAAUUAUCUUUACAGAACACCGUUUAAUUGUACGAGUGUUUGCGUUCACGCGCGCUUUUGCAAAUCCUUCAAGCGCAAAUGUUCAUAAACCAUUGCCGCCGUCCGUAGAGGCAUAGCUGAAGCGGCGUUACGCCUUAAAAGUGCGUUCUUUAAUUUUUUCGUCCAACUUUGACAAAAUUACAAUUAUAGCGAAUGCUAUAUAGUACAUGUUAUGCCGAAGGAAAAUGCAAAACGUCAAACGCGUUUUUCACGAAGCGCGUGUUUAGCAAAUUGGUUACCAUAAACGGACCUUUCGAAAAUGUUACAUGCGUAUAAAGCGGACAUCCCUUUAUCUUAUGUUAUAGAUAAAUCUCGAUAUCUGUAAUAGCUUCUUUGAUAACCAUUUAGAAUAGGGGACAGUCGACCGAUUUUAACGAGCUUGAAAGAUGUUGUCAGGGUCAGUGAAUAAUCUUUCUUUAUACGCAUAAUGAUACAUAGGUUUGCAGUUAAAUCAAAUUCCAGAAAGCGCCAUGAAUUUUCAGAAUUUACGACUUCUUCAUCCGGAGAAAAUGUGACAAAUUGCGCAAACAUACAGUGGCUCGCAUUAAUAUUCGGAUACUCUUUAUAGCGGAAUAACUUUUUGAAAAUGAAAAAAGACAAACUAAUUAACUUGAUGACGCGUAAAAACACGCGUGGACAAAUUGCAAUCGGUUGGAAUCGCAAAAAGGAUAGCGAAGGUCGCACUUUAUCAUUUUUUAUCUGGCUGUGUAAUGAAAGUUCGAACAAUGCGCUCUGCGGAUUUAUGUCAGUUACAUGUAUGCGUGCUAAAAAUUUAAUCGAGAUUGGUUCGAUGCGGAAGGAAAAGACAGGCAUCGAAAGAUGCAAGAAUCUUUUGGAUUUAUUACAGUUUUAGAAAAGUGGCGAGAAACUACAAUUUCUACCGUUUUCAAUCAUUUGUAGCUCUGUUAGCGCUGUUAACCGUUAACGAAAAGUUGUUCCGUUUUAAAGGGAGUGCGAAUAUCAACGUGCGAGCAGCUGCUUAUUACAAGGAAACGAUUAAGGUCACCGCGAAUUCAUAACGCUCGUUCGUAAUUGAAAAAUUGCUUAUCAGCUAUUGUAUCGCGCAGUUUGGAUUUAACGUGUUCGAAAGCCGCCUAUAUAUAGAGAUUCGUGUACAGUCGCGCAGUUACUCCAAAUUGCAAGUUUCAGUUGCUACGAAUAUGAGUAUACGCGGAAUAUCCGUUUCUCUCAGUAAUCGAUAAAUCAACUUUCAAAAAGCGCCAUGAAGAACCGGUUGAUAAGUGCAACAUUUGUCAGCGGUGUUCUGUUUACGAUCCUUCUCGCCCACCUGCCGGUUACUUUAUCGAGUUCCGAAUCGAUCGAGGAUCAUCUGCCGAUCAUAGGCGCAGGGGUCAAAAUAUUGAUAAAAGGCAUUGAUCGCCAGUUGAAAUGUCCCUUGUUUCACAUUGCUGUAGACAAGAAAUGCGUUAUGAUGGGUUAACGUUCAGAGCCUUAAAAUUUAUAUCAUGAACACGCACAUUUGCAUUUCUCUUUCUUCCGUUUUCGCUCUUUGACUUUCGAUUUGAAUCUUGAUCGACAUUGAUGCAGAAAGAUUCAAUGACCGUUGAUUACUAGCUCGUUGAAUCUGUGUAUUCAAGACUUUGUUUACUGUCAACUUGAAUUAUAAACAAUGUAUUGUAAUAAAUAAGACAAUGAAAAGUUGAAUUUAUUAUAAUUUUGUUACAAAAUCCACUUAAAUUUAGAUACGAGUGUUUGGAAGAAGAGGAAAAUUCAAUCUUCUUGUUGAUUUAGAGAUGAUUUGACUUUAAAACGAAAGAAAGACCGCGUCUCGUUACUAGCGAAGAGUCGUAGAACAUGGAAUAUAUUAAAAGCAACAAAUACUUUAUAAUACUAAUUAUGCUAUUAAUACCGAUAACUAGAGCUCAUCCAAAAUUCUAACGAAUUAUUGUUGAAAAUUCUCUAAUACAUUAUGUUAGGGCAUAUGCACGAUACAUCAAAAAAGAUUGUAAUACUUGAAAAUGAGAAUUUACUUUUUACUGUUCGGGCACCAGCAAGCUUGAUUAAGGUCGUCUUGUCCAUUCCGACGACCAACCGAUACCUGUGGAACUUUUUCUAAUUAUUUUUUUGGGGUUAACCAAACUAUCGUGCAUGCUCAUAGUUGAAUAAAUAAAAAUCAGAAUGCGAAGCAGUCUUGGCAGUUGAAGGACCAGAGAUCGGUUUUCCAUCGCCUGCAUAUGAGAAGCGCGUUGAUGGUUUUAGCGAGGGUCCUGGUGAUUUUUCUAGCGUUGGUCAUGUUUUCCUGCGUAUUUUCCCUUUGCUUCAGAGUUUGGUUGGAAUCCGUAGAUUAAUUCCAGUUAGCGCGAGUUGUUGAGUGCGAAUGGGAGGUGGGAAUGAUGCGAGAAAUGACAUGCGCGAUCCUUGUACGAUAACGAUGUAUGUUUAUUAUUACAAGCUUAUCUCUAAAGCUUGGGUGAACUAUCCUCCACCCAGCAAAGUUAUUACUAAUAUCAACAAAGAUUAUUUGUCUGGUUAACAAUGUCCCUUUACUAUUCUAAAGUGGAAAUAACAAAUGUAUAGCAGCCUUCGAAUUUGACCUACGAAACACAUUUUUUUCAUGCUUGAUUGAUAUUUCCACCGACGGUAUUCGAUAUAUUGCGAGGAGACUCGCUCAAGAUAUCGAACGCUAAGAAAUAAUAAAAAUUGACUUUACAUCGAGAAGGCUACUUUCAGAACUAUGUUGAUAUUUAUUUCUCCUGGUCGGUACUAUAAGCUCUUUAAGUAUCAGACACCUUUUUACACAACCUGCAUACGUCAGUUAGCUGUCACACUUGAAACGAUGUUCGGAAUCGCAAGCUUUGAAAUAAAAAAAUAAAAUAUCACCGCGGCAAUAAUACGCUAAAGCGUUGUUAAUCAAGUCACGUUACGUGUACCCUAAAUUGUACGUAUACGGUAGAACCUCGACUAGGAGAGAGACAGGAAAACUGAGCGAAAGAUGCACUGGGAAAUGUGAGUUUUUACAAAGACCAAACGGCAUCCGUUUAUUCGCAUCUUUUGCCCAGCCACAAUUUUCAUUCGUCUAACCUUCGAGAAAUAUUAUCGCCAAAUGAAUAAAUUCAAUAAUGUGAUAAUUUCAGUAUAGCGUAUCACACUACAUAUUUAGUGUUAAGAAGGUCGAGUAACGUCACGUGGAUCAAGCUAAAGGAAUAUAAAGGAAAUAAUACAGAAAAACUUGGAAAUUCUUGCGAACAAUCGUUGCAGCAUUUGAUCGAGCGAACGCGCGAUAAAAAUCAUAAUAUUCGUUCCUUUGCAACAAACAUAAAAACAGGGGCAUGUAACAUAAAGUGCAUAACUGCUCGAUAUAUGAGCUACCUUAUUAUUAUUAUUUCAUAAAUAUGCCAUCUAAUUGUAUUUUCAAUACAAUUUUUAUAUUUCUAGAAAUGUUAUUGUGGUUGAAUAUACUUUAACCGCCUAGGGAUUUUUAAUUACGCGCAAUUUUCGGCUAACAUCGUCGUGUAUCGUCGUUUGCUUGAGUGAACACGCGAUAAAAAUCAUAAUAUUUGUUCCUUUGUAACAAACAUAAAAACAGGGGCAUAUAACAUAAAGUGCAUAGCUGCUCGAUAUAUGUGCUACCUUAUUAUUAUUAUUUCGAAAAUACGCCAUCUAAUUGUAUUUUCAAUACAAUUUUUAUAUUUCUAGAAAUGUUAUUGUGGUCGAAUGUACUUUAACCGCCUAGGGAUUUUUAAUUACGCGCAAUUUUCGGCUAACAUCGUCGUGUAUCGUCCACAUACCUGCUGUAUUACGACAAUAAGCUAUAAACCGUCCAGGCGUAUAACCUAUAGUACCGCUUAAAAGGCAUAUUUCAUUUUGACUCUGAAAUUUAUCGGGUAUAUCGUUUAAUUAUAUUCCAUCCGGGUAUUCGAUACAACACCCGUUUAGUUUUUACUGCCGCCUCCUUCGAAAUUAAAACCAAAGAGGAAGCAAUGCCGGAUAUGCUCCUUUACAGGUCUAUCGUUUCAAGUCGGAACAAUCAAAGAGUUUACAC